UACGUAGGGUGCGAGCGUUGUCCGGAAUUAUUGGGCGUAAAGAGCUCGUAGGCGGUGUGUCACGUCGGCCGUGAAAACCUGCAGCUUAACUGUGGGCGUGCGGUCGAUACGGGCAUCACUGGAGUUCGGCAGGGGAGACUGGAAUUCCUGGUGUAGCGGUGAAAUGCGCAGAUAUCAGGAGGAACACCGGUGGCGAAGGCGGGUCUCUGGGCCGAUACUGACGCUGAGGAGCGAGAGCGUGGGGAGCGAACCGG
rnacentral:rRNA from 1 species